rnacentral:rRNA from 1 species
GAUGAACGCUAGCGGCAGGCUUAACACAUGCAAGUCGAGGGGCAGCGCGAUGUAGCAAUACAUUGGCGGCGACCGGCGCACGGGUGCGUAACACGUAUGGAACUUACCCUUUACUGGGAGAUAGCCCGGAGAAAUCCGGAUUAAUAUCCCAUAAUAAACGAGGUGGCAUCACUUUGUUUUGGAAGCUCCGGCGGUAAAGGAUGGCCAUGCGCACGAUUAGCUAGUAGGUGAGGUAACGGCUCACCUAGGCUACGAUCGUUAGGGGGCCUGAGAGGGUUAUCCCCCACACUGGUACUGAGACACGGACCAGACUCCUACGGGAGGCAGCAGUGAGGAAUAUUGCGCAAUGGAGGCAACUCUGACGCAGCCAUGCCGCGUGCAGGAAGAAGGCGCUACGCGUUGUAAACUGCUUUUAACCGGGAGAAACCCCAGGACGUGUCCUGGGUUGACGGUACCGGAGGAAUAAGCACCGGCUAACUUCGUGCCAGCAGCCGCGGUAA